UACGUAGGGCGCAAGCGUUAUUCGGAAUCACUGGGCUUAAAGGGUGCGUAGGCGGCGCGGAAAGUUGGGUGUGAAAUCCCUCGGCUCAACCGAGGAACUGCGCCCAAAACUGCCGUGCUCGAGGGAGAUAGAGGUGAGCGGAACUUAGGGUGGAGCGGUGAAAUGCGUUGAUAUCCUAAGGAACACCGGUGGCGAAAGCGGCUCACUGGAUCUCUUCUGACGCUGAGGCACGAAAGCUAGGGUAGCGAACGGG
rnacentral:rRNA from 1 species